rnacentral:tRNA from 1 species
GGUGCGGUGUCCGUUGGUGGUAGCACCUCGGGUUUUCACCCCGAGCGUCACGGGUUCGAUUCCCGUCCGCAUCA